GCUGCCACUGCCGCCGCGCUCCGCAACCCCGUGCGCCCGCCAGGCCUGCGGGCCGCAGCGCCCCUCUCUGACCUCAGCCAGGAGCCGUGGCUCAGGGGUCCGACUGGGGACAGAAAGGAGAAAGAAUCUCGCUGUGGCUUCCGCGAGGAGUCCAGAGGGAGAGGGGACAGGGAGGAGGGGGGCGAGCUCGAGUUCGCUGCACCUCCACCGCAGGUAUUUCAGAAAGAAUUAAUCUUUUUGAAGUUGGCCACAGCUGCGAUUUAACUGACACCCUGUUCAACCGGGUGACAAUUGUUCAGCUUGAUGGGGGCGACUCACCAGCCACCCUUCAUAGAAAACAAAAUCUGACUCCCUGGUUCCUGGUUCCUUUGUACCAAGGGGCAGGGUGAACGUAAGACGGCCUGGGCCAUGGCGAAGCUAUCGAAGUCUUUAUUCCAUUUGUGUUAAUGUGCUUCACCAAAGCCGAAUUAGACUCUCUCUACUCCAGAAGGAACCAGGGCAUCAAGAAUAUGCUGGAGGAUUGGAGGCCACUGAGGUUGAGGGAAGGAGAACUGGGAAGGAAGGUCCCUGCGAACACGUCUCCCUCAUGUCAGCCAGGCCAGUUGUCCAGGAGACAUUCUGAAUAAUGCCUCAUCCUGGAAGUGGCUUGUGUUCUCAUGGACAGCGGAGAAAAAUGGAAACAUGAGCCAAAGGAAGAUUCCAGAACCUAGGAACAUGUUUGUGCGGGUCUGCAGACAGCAGACAGACAUCCCUCCAUUCUCUGAGAGCCACUCUUCUGUGUUAUGACUGGACCCGUAGUCACUAGGUUUCCAAAGGCAGAGUAAGUCUGUGGGAAAACUGACCCCUGGUGUCCACAGGGAGUGGAGUAGGUAUUAUUUGUUGUAUUUUAGUAGGACCUUUAGUGGAAUCACUAAAGGAAGAUCAGCUGACAACUAGGAUGAGUAUAAGAGCUGAAAAGUGACUUUCACGGCUGUCCCUGGUAACUAGAAUACGUCUAUAGCUUCCUGAAUAGACAACCCCACCCUACUUUUUUUCUUUCUUCUUUGGCCGCAUCUAUGGCAUAUGGAAGUUCCAGGGCCAGGGCUUGAAUCUGAGCCACAGCUUUGACU
rnacentral:lncRNA from 1 species